ensembl:lncRNA
AUGCAACAUGCAGAGGCGGCCAACAGCACCAGCAGCAGCACGGAUUUUGAUAGCGAGUCGAAAGAUGCAGGAAAAUACACAAAAAAAUGUCAAUACCUUCAGCGUGUCCCAUUCUAAACACAUACACCAGCCAGCAAUGCUUCCUCGUUUAAUCUACAGGAGGAGAAGGAGAAGGAGGGGGGUACAAAAUAAUAAUAAAAAAAUAAUAAUAAUCCUGUGAUGUUGGUAAAGCUCAGGCCUUUUCGUUUUAACGCAAUUCUCCACAGAGAGGAGGAGGAGGACUCGAUCUGGUCGCUGCCCAAUCCCAACGCGGGGCUCUUCGUCAGUGCGAGGACCCGAAAACCUCAAUCUGAUCGCAACCCCCUUCCUGUCCUCUUCUUCAUAAUAAUCUCUAGCACCCUCUUCCUCCGGUUUAACAAAAGCGCUCUGCCCUUUUUUUUCUUUUAAAUUCUCGGUGGAUCCAGCUCCUCAGCUCAGCGCCAAAAUCACACUGAUGCAGCCUGCAAGCAAGGGUCACCAGAGGCACCCCGGGAGCUGUAGUUUAUAUCUUACAUUUGGUUAAACAGGAGGAAAAAGGCAUCUGAAAUGCACGGAAAUAAAGGAGGAAACGCAUGUGUGGGGGGUUUCAUUUAUUUAUUUAUUUUUAAUGGGCUACACAAGAACAUUUUACUGCUCGUAUCGUGGAUAAACACUGUUAAAUAUUUGAUUUUUUUUUUAAAUCAUUAUUGUUAUUAUAUUUUUAUCUCUGUGUCCACGGCACCAUGUAUCUACGCUUGCAGCAGGCUCUCCGAUUGGCUUUUACGCGCCUCCUCGCCUGAUCUGCUUCUCAGGGGGAGGAGGUGGAAAAAAGAAAGAGCUGUCACUCUGCCUCUUGUUUCUUGUUCCUGCAUGUUGUUCCUGCAAGUGUUAUUAGGAACACUUCCUUUCAUAUAUCAAGGAUUUCGUUCAGCAAGAAAGUGCCAGGUUUAAAGUCAAAGUCAAAGUCAAAGUCAACUUUAUUGUCAAUUCUGCCACAUGUACAGGACAUACAGAGAAUAGAAACUUCGUUACUCUCAAUCCCUAGAUAAAAUAGAAAAUGAACAUUUAAAUAUAAGAG